rnacentral:rRNA from 2 species
ACGGGUGAGUAAUGCCUAGGAAUCUGCCUGGUAGUGGGGGAUAACGUUCGGAAACGAACGCUAAUACCGCAUACGUCCUACGGGAGAAAGCAGGGGACCUUCGGGCCUUGCGCUAUCAGAUGAGCCUAGGUCGGAUUAGCUAGUUGGUGAGGUAAUGGCUCACCAAGGCGACGAUCCGUAACUGGUCUGAGAGGAUGAUCAGUCACACUGGAACUGAGACACGGUCCAGACUCCUACGGGAGGCAGCAGUGGGGAAUAUUGGACAAUGGGCGAAAGCCUGAUCCAGCCAUGCCGCGUGUGUGAAGAAGGUCUUCGGAUUGUAAAGCACUUUAAGUUGGGAGGAAGGGCAGUUACCUAAUACGUGAUUGUUUUGACGUUACCGACAGAAUAAGCACCGGCUAACUCUGUGCCAGCAGCCGCGGUAAUACAGAGGGUGCAAGCGUUAAUCGGAAUUACUGGGCGUAAAGCGCGCGUAGGUGGUUCGUUAAGUUGGAUGUGAAAUCCCCGGGCUCAACCUGGGAACUGCAUUCAAAACUGUCGAGCUAGAGUAUGGUAGAGGGUGGGUGGAAUUUCCUGUGUAGCGG